UACGUAGGUGACAAGCGUUGUCCGGAUUUACUGGGCGUAAAGAGCGCGCAGGCGGUCAUUCAAGUCGAGUGUGAAAGCCCCCGGCUCAACUGGGGAGGGUCACUCGAUACUGAUCGACUCGAAGGCAGGAGAGGGUAGUGGAAUUCCCGGUGUAGUGGUGAAAUGCGUAGAUAUCGGGAGGAACACCAGUGGCGAAGGCGACUACCUGGCCUGUUCUUGACGCUGAGGCGCGAAAGCGUGGGGAGCGAACAGG
rnacentral:rRNA from 1 species